AGAAUGAUAGAAAAAAGAUUGCGCAAUGCGCAUGUUUGCUUUCAGUCAGCUGUUCUUGGUGACGUCACGGUUGACUUGAAAGAAAUUUGCAGUUUGAAAUGGGUUUAAGUUCGCGGAGUCUAACAAAGUUGCUACCUAGCGCUUUUCUCACGUUAACCAGAUUAACUCCUGAAGAGGCUAAUGAACGGCAGAAAAGGAUGGAGUCUCGUUUAAACCACUGUUUCUUAUCCUAAUUGCAAUAUUUUUCAACGUGUGUCAGUUGAUCUAAAUUCCACUGACCCAAUUGAAAAAAAUGAUGACUUGAAGAUUCUCAACAACGACGGGCUUGAAAAUUUGGCAGGGUACAUCUGCCACAAACUUAGUAAAGACAACCCCGAAAUUUGUGCCAAUUCAGAAAAUUGUUCGUCUUAUACCUGGGUGGAUCACCUUUCUGAAGGAGGACUCUCAAAACCAACAGAUAUGUUGAUGGAGCAUAUGAGAGCCUUGCAAGCAGUAUUUGACGAUGUAAAUGGUACUAAUUUGCAUAUAUGUACAAAUUACCACCAGAAACACUUAGAUUUAAGUAAUUUUGUAAAUUGUAGCUCGAAAGUAAAAAAAUAAUUGUUUUUCAGAGCAAGAAUGUAUUUUAGGAUUCGUUCCUUAAAUAAAAACUUUAUCGAACACAUGUAUAGCAAAAAAAGAAAAUUAAAUAAGACAAUAAAUUGAUACUCGGUCACAAAAUAUUCAAUCUUUUUAUUUGCAUAAAUGUACAUACAUAUAUGGUUGAAACAAACACAGCAAAGAGACAAACUUAAAUAAUACAAUGAAAACACAAUUAAAUGAAUAUGUAGGUAAAUGUUCACUAUUAAAUAUUCACUUAUAUUGAUAUCUUUUAUUAAUAUUCACUUAUAUUGAUGUUAAAUUUGAUGAUAUUCAUGAUUUUGUAUGCCUGCAAUACAAAAUUGCUUCUUAUUGCAAAGAAAAACAAGCAACCGAAAA